UUCAAGGAUUAUAACUGCUACGUAGGAAGUGCCGUCUGAUGCGAUAACUGACGAUGGCAAAAGGCUGUUCUGAGA